rnacentral:rRNA from 1 species
UACGUAGGGGGCAAGCGUUGUCCGGAUUUAUUGGGCGUAAAGCGCUCGCAGGUGGUUCGAUGCGUCGUGCGUGAAAGACCCCGGCUCAACUGGGGAGGGUCGUGCGAUACGGUCGAACUGGAGGCCAGUAGGGGGAUGCGGAAUUCCGGGUGUAGCGGUGAAAUGCGCAGAUAUCAGGAGGAACACCAAUGGCGAAGGCAGCACUCUGGGACGUGACUGACGCUGAGACGCGAAAGCGUGGGGAGCAAACAGG